UACGGAGGAUGCAAGCGUUAUCCGGAAUUACUGGGCGUAAAGCGUGCGCAGGCGGUUUUGUAAGCCAGAUGUGAAAUCCCCGGGCUUAACCUGGGAAUGGCAUUUGGGACUGCAAGGCUCGAGUGCGGCAGAGGAGACUGGAAUUCCUGGUGUAGCAGUGAAAUGCGUAGAUAUCAGGAGGAACACCGAUGGCGAAGGCAGGUCUCUGGGCUGACACUGACGCUCAUGCACGAAAGCGUGGGGAGCAAACAGG
rnacentral:rRNA from 1 species